CAAUCAGUGCAUUUUUUUUUUGGUUUAAAAACAAUCAGUGCAUUGUUGCAUUGUGUCUAUACUCUACAGCACAUCAUCAAAAAGAAAAAGAUUACGUUUUACCCAUCCAUGUGCAACAAAAAUUACGUUCUUUACAUAUUUGCUAUAAAUGGAGGGAACAAAUGUAAAAAGAGAUCAUAAAGAGAUCAUGAAUUUGAGUGUAACCAAAAAGCUCUGCUGCAGGUUGAAGAUGCCACUGGAAUAUAUUGCUAUUUCCCAGCUCAAUUAAUUUCAAAAAAAUGGAAAAUUAGAUUACUGGUCUCUCAGAUUUUUGGAUGAAAAGUUGAUGGAGGAGCUAUGUAACAACAAAGCCUGUUUGGUGAUCAGGGCUUCCGCCAUGCAAGCAUAAGAGACGUGGUAGUGACAUGGGUCAUAGAUCUUGUAGUGAUCUUAAAAGAAGAGGUGUUCUUGAAGACCCAACCAAGGCCAGCAGUCAAAGACAAAGCUCUUCAAUCUGCGUCUUUGGUGCAGAAGAUGGUAUCAACAGGUGGAUCUGGAAGUGAGGGUGAGAAGGACCUGAAGAAUGAUGGAGGAGCUUGGAGAUGUUGAGCUCAUUACCAUUCCUCAGCAGAUGGAAGAGCUUUAAGGAUCGUAUUUGAUGGGGUCAAGUCUAUGUUCUCAAAGAGAAGACGAUUGCGGCUUAUCCAGAUGAACCAGCAAAUCCACGGCAACACGUUUAUUUUUAUUCCAAAGGUGGGAGGUUAAUCCAAUUGGUGGAAGAGAAGAAUUCUGAGGAAAAUGAAGAACAAGGUGAAUUGAAGGUGGAAACUUCGCAAAUUUCUUGCGAGAGCCUGCAGUGGAAGAAGAGGUGAGCAGUUGUCUCCAAGGUUCCACAUCUAGAGUACUCGGUGUUAGCGAGCAUUCCGCAUUGCUGGAGAUUUGUCUCAUGAGUAAGGGUUUAUGCAUGAUUUUUUCACAGAAACAAUUUAAGCUUAGGUGAAGUUCGUGGAGAUUCCAAACAAGUUUUUUCAAUUUAUGAGAUUUUG